rnacentral:rRNA from 2 species
UUCGCAAUGCCCGAAAGGGUGACGAAGCGACGCCGCGUGGGUGAGGAAGGCCUUCGGGUUGUAAAGCCCUGUCAGGAGUUAAGAAAUGUAAGUGCGCUAAUAUCGCAUUUAUAUGACGAAGGCUCCAAAGGAAGUCACGGCUAACUCUGUGCCAGCAGCCGCGGUAAUACAGAGGUGGCAAGCGUUGUUCGGAAUUAUUGGGCGUAAAGAGCACGUAGGUGGGUUUGUAAGUCAGAUGUGAAAGCCUUCUGUUCAACGGAAGAAUUGCAUCUGAAACUACAAACCUUGAGUGUAGGAGGGGAGAAUGGAACUUCUGGUGGAGCGGUGAAAUGCGUAGAUAUCAGAAGGAACGCCGGCGGCGAAAGCGAUUCUCUGGCCUAUUACUGACACUCAGUGUGCGAAAGCUGGGGGAGCAAACGGGAUUAGAUACCCCGGUAGUCCUAGCCGUAAACGAUGGGCACUAAGUAGAGGGGUUUU